CCACAUUUCCUCCUGGGCUUUGCAGGAGGAUCCAGAUCCUGCCUCAUACAGCUCAGCUCCAGCUUAUUUGGGAGAUUAAGAUCAGAGAUGCUGUGGAAGGGCCACGUUUUAACAAGGUAGAAAGCACAAGCUAUUCAGAAGUCUCGCCUACUGUGCAGAACCCCCCCCCCCUCACACACACACACACACACCACACCCUGGCUCCAGAGACCUCUCCCAUAAAGAUGCUAUCACGGGGUGAGGAAAGAGUCACCCCACUCCCAGCAGGCUUCUAGUCAGAAGAGCUUCACUUUCAAUUACCGGCAGCAGCUGUGGAGGCCACUUAUGUAACGGGCUCCGCGCCUCCUCCUUGGGAGGUGGGGAACCAUUUGGUGUGUGCUAAAUAAUGAGUCAUGGUCCGAGUGAGGGAGCAGAGAGCGGAUUUCUCCCUGGAAUUGCUUCAUCUGAACCUCUAGUAAAGAAUGGUUCUUCACUGGUGUCUAUAAUGUACACAGAUUUUCACCCCUGUGCCGACUGUGUGGAUUGACUGUCCUAGGCACAGAAGAGCGAAUGUGGGCCGGAUAAAUAUGACCAUUGUGUUUGAAGAGUUCAUGUCCGAAAUGACAGACGUUUCCCAAGCUGUAUCAUUUAAGAUAAUUUCGAACACAGGAGGCAUCGUGCAGGGACGAGGAAGCAGCUGUGAGGAGAAUGAACGCAGGGACGAGGACCUUUGCUUGGUAGAUUGCAAGGAGGCUCCAGGGCUGCUGACCUCUGAUCAGAAACCUCAUGGAGGCUUUGGCCCCUCUCCUGGUUCACUUUUGAUAGUGGAUGGAUUUGCAACUAAAUGGAGCUCUCAGCAGCCUCUGUUGAACAUUCUAAAAGCCUGUGGUCCAGCCUCUUUCUGAUGUGACUCAAAGAGGCUUUCAUCAGGACUCAAGUCAAGACCUCUUUGCAGCAAGUGUUAUGUGAGAAAGAAAUUAAGCUAUAUUCCUCUUCAAAUUAAGGCAACAGGAAAUGUGUGUUUUUAAAUUGUGGUCUUGAACUUCAUAAGUUCAUUUACUUCAGAAGACUGGCCUGCCUCCAGGGCUUUGCUCAGUGUGGCACAUACUGAAAAUGCCUCACACAUGCUUAUGGCCUGAUAUAUGAACACAUGGAUGCCUAAAUCAGAGAGAGAAAAGGAAACUCUUCUUGAGUUUUAUUUUGUAAUUAAAUUUAACCAGAAUAUUCAAGACUGGGGAUCAGUCCCUAGGCAUAUUUGAUGUUCUUGGGCAUUUUCUUUUACUUUGAUUAGGUUCAAGUUCUGCUGGGAUUGAGAUGAAACCCAAAACAGAUGCUCUGUGGAGCAUCCUGGGUGCCAUCUCUGUAAGGCACUAGUCUGGGUGCACACAGGGAAGAAAAAGACAUUGAGCACUAUGGCAUGAGCUGAGAGGCCCCUAACCAGCAAGGCUUAACAUGCUCAAAAUGAUCUAGAUGCUGAGAUUGUCUGUAUUGACACAGGAAGUCAUGCCAUUCAUCCAUCUUUUGGAUCAGUUUAUCAGAUUCACUGGGCCUAGAGGAGAGUCACCAGUUGAUGUACACCCCAGAGCAGCCACUUCAGAGCAGAGACUAAGGAUGUUCCAGAAGAUUUCGUGCAAACUCAUAGACCUCAUCUUUCCAUUCCACCACGAGGACCCUGAGGGUACAUCCUUUCUUCAUAAGCCCAGACACCAUCUCUAAGAGAAGCAGGGUUUCAGCCAGUAGCUCAGGGUGACCUUGAGCUUGUGAUGGAAUCCAGCCUUUUCUCAAGUCCUGUGAUCCCUCGACUGCCCUCCCAGUGCUGGGGUACAGGCGAGCAUGGCCACUCCCAACUAUGACUCUGUUUCCCCCGUUGGAAGUUUUGGAAGGUCUCAGAUGCCAGGCUCAUCUCCUGUCAUCUUCUUUUUUCUCUUCACUCAUUCUCCAUCAUGUGUGGCUUCAGCUGGAGCCUGGGACUCCAUCCUAAGAUACUGCAAACAUGUCUGUAUAUCUGGUGGAAAGAUCUCUGAGGUAUCUGGAGAUGAAAAGUAAGAAAUUACUGGUCUAUCGCUCUCUAUUUAGAGACCCUGACAGCCCAGAUGUGCCCUCAGGAAACCUGGCUGUUGCAAACAGAAAACAGAAAGGGCAGAAUUUGGGUCUAAAAACACAAACAGAAACACUUAUGGAGAAGCCAUCUUUAGAGAGUAUAACAUCUGAAAAUGUAAAAAAGCUGAAUCAAACACAUGGAUGAAACUAAAUAAAAUAUAAGUGCUAACUUUUGUCA